UCCUUCAUGGGUCUGUAUGGUGCGGCCCUGAUGAGGUCGCAGGAACCCGGUGUGAAUCCGGGACUGUUGCGCAGCGGUGACGGUGACGACGUCGGUGAAACCACUGGGAGUGAUCCUGGGAAGGGCCGACCGAGGGUGAUCCGAAGUCCGAAGGCCCCAUGCAUGGCGCCGUGUC
rnacentral:ncRNA from 2 species